UAGCGGGGCUCGGCACAGUGGGAGUUAGAACAUAGGGAGUAGGUAGUUGCUCCGGACUUCUGGCCGCGGGCGGGUGAAUAACACGUGGGCAACCUACCCUAUAGUUUGGGAUAACUCCGGGAAACCGGGGCUAAUACCGAAUAAUCUCUUUUGCUUCAUGGUGAAAGACUGAAAGACGGUUUCGGCUGUCGCUAUAGGAUGGGCCCGCGGCGCAUUAGCUAGUUGGUGAGGUAACGGCUCACCAAGGCGACGAUGCGUAGCCGACCUGGGAGGGUGAUCGGUCACACUGGGACUGAGACACGGCCCAGAUUCCUACGGGAGGCAGCAGUAGGGAUCUUUCCACAAUGGGCAAAAGCUUGAUGGAGUAACGCCCCGCUGGUGGAAGAAGUUUUCGGUUCGUGAAACUUCUUUUGAAGGAAAAAAAGAGUACCGGAGUAACUGGUUGUACUUUGACGGUACCUUAUUAAAAAGCCCCGGCUAGUUACUUGCCGGCAGCGGCGGGAAAUAGUGGGUGGCAGCCGUUGUCCGAAAUUAUUUUGCCAAAGGGGGGCGCAGGUGGGUUUUUAGUUGAGAAGCCCACGUUCACCGGGGGGUCUUGAAUGGGGGUUUGAUGCAAAGAGAAGUGAAUCCAUUUAGCGUAAAUCGUAAUUUGAAGAACCCGGGCAAGCGUUUUGGCGUACUAAGUGAGCGCAAAUGGCGGGGCACACAUAGAACCUGUAGCCUACUCGAACAUAGUUAAUGUAGGGGUUCGCUUUAGGGUGCGUACCUAGCUUCGUCGACGCCGUAAAGCUAAAUUAAAAAUACGGGCGCGAGUUCCGCCCUUAAGUUUCAGAGCUAAACUAUGGCGCCUCCGUGCCGGAGAGUACUGCUGCGGCACUUAAACUCAUGUGCUUUUCCGGGAGUUGUAACAAGCGCGGACGGCUCUGACUAAUGCCAUAGCGCCUUAGGAUCGGUUACGAAGGCUUGAAAUCUCCUAACUGCAAGGUAAGCAAU
rnacentral:rRNA from 1 species